UCCAACGACCAGGUCAUCAUGCAGCCUGGGUCAGCUGACGACUAAGCGGCGAGGAGGUUGUCAGGGUCUCCAGGCUUGAUUUCUCAAGCCAUACGUUAGGAAUGGGUGACAAUCUGGGUGACGACCGUCACCUAGGUGACGACCAGGUCGUCAAGCUGCCAGGAAGGGCGUUGUUGGCUCGUUUUUGUGUUUUGAGCUUCUGGUUCGACUUUCCUAGUCUGAUUUUGCAAACGAGUAGGCAAAUGAGUAUUUGGUUAGAAGCUGAAGGAUGACUGAGGCCGUUCUUCUUUCAUGUUGUUUAUUUGAUUAUUUAGAUUUAUGUUGCUCUGAUCUGUAACACUAGGCGAAUGAACGAUUAUGUUUUCUUGUUAUUUA